GUGGAAGAGAGUGAGAAGGAGAAGUGCUGAGAGGAAGGCAAGGAGGACAGUUUUCCAAGGGGUGCCUUAUUGAAGUGUUGGGCCCUGGGAAUCUGGGGCUGGUGGGGAGCAGGUGGGCAGGAUGGGGCGUGGGCUGGGAGAAGUGGGGUAAAGCUGGUAGGUUUGUCACUGCGUAGUUGGGAAAAGUGGGGAAUGGUGACGCAGUCACUGUUGGAUCUUGUUAGGAGCUCUUGGGGGACAGGUAGUGAGGCUCCCGGGGUCUAUAGGGCCAGCUGAGAGGGGUUAAGGAUGAGCUGAGAAGGGAAGCUAGCAUUUAGAGAUUAAAUGUCAUCCUUUUGGCGUUGGAAAGUUGUUUACCUUGCGCUCUCUGUGUCUCCAUGUUGGCACCCUUCCAGUUCACAUGUGAUGGCCUUCCUUGUACUGCUGCAUCAUUAACUAAGUGACUGAGCUGGCCUUCCAUUGGCCAGGGGAGGGCUCUCACUCCAGACACCUCCUCUGAUUGGUGGGUGGGCCAAUGGCAGGUGAAAACCUUUUUUUGAUUGGCUGAGGGCAGGGUAUCAAAUCUGAAUUUGCAUUUCACUUGCUUAAAGGGGAGGGGGGGGAGAAGCCCAGCAGCUUUCUAAAAUCUGUUUAGGGGUGUGCGUAUGUUCCUGUGUCUGUACCUGCUUUUGACUGACCAGUCGAAGCCUUUUUUAUCUCAUGCACUAUAAGGAAGAGGAGCUGAGGGUUUCCCAAACUUUUGUUUGGAGGGGCAAGGGUUGGGGAGAUGGGUGCGCAGAGGGUUGACCAAACUGGAAGAGAAUAUUUGUUCUUUAGUUUGUGUCGGAAAAGGGAAUUUUCCAAUCAGCCACACCUCAGUGUUGCGGCAAAAUAAUUCUUGGCUCCCCUGGAAACGCAUGGGCAAGGUAGGGCAGAGCUGCUGCUGCUGAUAUUGCCACCACCCUGGGCUUCCUGCUGACUCUGGGCUACUCCCCGGGGACAAGAGAUUUGCAUUGACGUCCGGGGCUGUCCAAAGCUGAGCCCAGUAUGGAAAGGACCUGCCUUCUGGAAGCUGCUGCUCCCUGGUGCUUGGAAAGGUGAGGAUGGGGACUGACCCCAGGAUGUUGCUCAGAAACUGCGUAUUUGGUGGGAUUUCUGGGAGGCCACAGGGCCAUGAGAGAUUUGGAGGUCCCAGGUUAGGAGGCAAGGUUUGUCAUUCUGUGGAGUGAGCAUAGUGAGAGCAGAACUAGGGCAGCAGGCUGUUCGCCUCUGGUAGGGGGAGGGGGACUUGGAAAAAUCAGGGUCCUGGCUCUCCAUCUGGUCCUGUUGCCGUUCUCACGUCUGUGGGGAGGGGGUUUCCUAGCCCUGCACCAUUGCGCAGUGGCCCCCACCCAUGACUGCGCAUCUGGGAGCACAGUGCGCCCUGGGUCUUCGGCCUAGGACAGCACCGCCCUUCUUAUUACAUAACGGAGGGCACGUCUGUGCUUUCUCGGCCCUUCCUCAUAACCCUACCUCCUGGCUCCCCAGGGCCCACAAAGCUGAGGAGGGUCUGAUGGGGGAGCAAUGAAAGACCUCACUCCCUUGGACGGCUAGCUCUUGUCCAGUUGGGUUUGAAGACAGAAGUGGACUGCUGUCCCCCAUUUUGGGGUACAGAACGUAGAAUGUCCUUCCGAAUGCCCUGUGUCACCCAUGGCCCCCAGGACCUCUCGGUGGGGGGGAUGAGGUCAUGCCCUUCUUUUCCUCUUUUGCUUUUUGAUUUGAGAGGAAGUUAACGAAGGGAAAGAUAUGACAGUUGUGAGAGUAAGGAAGGGUGGGGGGAACCCAGUUGGGAGGUGAUUGACAGUUCACUCCCCUUGUCUCACUAGCUUCCCUUUCCCUGGGUGGGUUGAUAGUAUUGUUGGACACCUUUCCUCAUAAGGCUGCCAUUUUGGAGGCAUUUCUGCUGGUCUCCGACAUGGUGGCGUUGGUUUUUCUGGUCCUGCUGUGCCAGUUCCGCAGAGUGGGCGGGGGGUGGGGGCUAUGACGGAGGAGGGGAGGGGGGGCAAAAAGCGCAGCAGAGGCGGGCGCACUGGUGGCUGCCGCAGUAGAGGUGGCCCCAGGGGCAGGACCGCCCAGUCCCACCCUCGGACACAGCCCUGGGUGGGGGUUCCACUGCCUGGGGCCCCAGCUUUGCCAGAGCGUGGACGUUGCUGCCCGAAGGCCUGGGUCUCCCAUGCCCUCAUCAGCCUGAGGCUUAGAGCAGUUUGGGGGAAAGCUGAGUUUUGAGGGGAGAGUGGAGGCAGAGACAUGGCAGCUCCUCUCAGAUGUGUCAGACCUGUGGUUUGUGUUCCCCAAGUAGGCUGUGUCUCCGGCAGUCUCCCCACGGGGACGGGGGUGGGGUCGACGGCAGCUUCGAGGAUUUGUCUGGAUGGCCCUGCCUUUUUACCGUUUUUCUUGUCUUUCUCCUCAUGCCCCCUGCCAGUGCCAUGGUUCCAGCUGUAGUCCUCCAGUGACGCUCCCUGCUGCCCAUCCCUCUCCUCUCCAGGCCCUUCUGCGUGCAGCGGCCAUCUUGUCUUUCUGGCUCAGGGAUUUAAAAUGGUUUCUUGUCGUUUCCAGAAGAAAAUCCCUUCCCUUUAGCAUGAUGCCGAAGGCUGUCUGUAACUAGCCUUAGCUCUCCUCUACAGUCUUACCUCUCUUAAGUUUCCCUAGGUGGAAACAAAACCAGGAGACUCACUUUUUCUUCCUUUUCCUUUCUCUCUGUUUUAACUGGAGAUAUUUUUCUUUGCCUCCUCUCCUCCGCACCCACCUGCGGCAGUCCCACCGUCCUCCGGGCACCUCUCCUGAUUACCUUCACAAGAAGCAGUCCUCGUAACCACCCCUGCCACCUUCGGCCAGACUCCCAUACGCUUCCUCCCUCUUUUAAUGCUACUUGAGUUGUGUUACGGUUCUUUGUGUGUGAGUCUCAUGUCGCCUAUUAGAUUGUGAGCUUUGAGAGGCUAGGGCAGGAAGAAGGGAAACACAUACCUAGUUGCUGCCUCCUGUUUGCAGGUACCACGCAGGCUCUCUCAUGACGGUUAUUUCACUUAUUCCUUACCACGCCCUGCGAGGAGAGUCCCGUGGCUGGUGAGUGUUCCAAUCGUGAUUAGAACCCUGGGCUCUCAAAGCCUUUGCAUUUUUCCAUUCUCAGUCCUCAGUGUCUGCAAAAUGCCUCUUACGAGGUAGAUCCCCAAAACGUGUCUAUUUAAGGAAUUUUGUAAGUGCCUGAUGCCGUGUGGGAGUUUGAGUGGCCGAUCUUCUUGAGCUCAAGGUCUGGGUCAUUGAGCUGUUCCAUGCCACCCUCACUGCUACCUCGGGACCUUUCUCCGCUUCCUUUACAGCCAGGUUCACUCAAGAUGAUGGGUUUUUUUGGUGGCUGAAAUUGAUGGGUUAACAGACUUUAGUUAUCCUGGUCACCUUCCUCGUAGAAGAGGAGUCGGAGGGUGGGGUGGGUUGUAGCUUCUUCAGAGAAGAAUAAGCUCUCUAUCCCCAAGUCAGUGGAGACUGUGGAAGGCAGGGAGCAGAGACACUGCUUUUGGACAGACCUAGGUUUGCAUCUUGAUCCUGUCUCAUCUUAGCUGGGUGGUCUUAUUUGACAGGUCAUUUGAUUUUUCUAAGUGUUAGUGUCCUUAGUCAGUGAGAUGGAGCCAUUGUAAUGUACUACGCAGAAAUGCCUAAUAUGUUGCCAAGCAAAUAGAUCCCCAUUAGAAAGUGAUGCAGCUCCCUUCCCCCUGCCCAGUUGUUUAUCAAGAACUUAAGAAAGAAACACAGCAGGUGGCUCGAGAAGAAAUGAGGGAGAAGGGAGCUUGCUUGCUUUCAGUGAUCCCACAUGCAGGGGCAGGGCAGGAGGUAACGGGGCAGUACGUACCUGAAGCCUGCUAGGUGAUGCCUUUCCCCACCUGGAGUAAACACCACUUUAACUUCUGCAUCAGGAAAACGCCGUGGGAACAGAGCCGUGAGAACUGGUGGUGGCAGAGUGAGGGUUAACCGGUGAGCCUUCCUGGGAGCCUUUCGAUGCCAGUGUGUCGGGAGCCGGGAGAUGGAGCGCUCAGCCGAGUGGCCAGGACGUUCUGUCAACAUGAAAGCAGCAAAAACAGCUUGUCGGGGCUCGGAGCUGACCCUUAGGCUGGGGUCGUUUUCAGGAAGAGCUUGGCAGAGAAGAAGGCCACUGCUGGACAUCAGGGUGGGGGCGACACCAGGUAACUCAACAUGGCUCGGUGGACUCUUGAAUUUUAGAAUCUGAAGGGAAAAUGCAGCUGUUUGUGUUGUUAGAUGAGCUUGGCAAAUAGGGUCACUUCUUGAGCUCCUCUCACUGGUCCCAAAGGAGAGACAUCUUCCCAGGGCCAGAAAGCCCUUUGGGAUUUCUCGCUGUGGCUUGUUGCCUUGCAUAGAGGGUGAGUCCCUUCUUGGGAUAGGGGUGGACCUGGUGGUUCUUAGUGAACACGGGUCCUCCAGGACCCCAGGAGCAAGUGCCCGUCAUGGGGAUACGGCGUUUUAGGUUUCCUCUGCUGGCAUCAUGUGAAGAUGGUAGAUUCACGUCACUGGCCUUAAACUGAAGGCCAGCUCUUGGACAGCCUUUCCUCAUUGUCCCAAAUCAAAGCUUAUUGUCUAUCCUGCUCUUCUUUCCUUCCCUCUUAGGUGAAAUAGUGGGCCUUGAGUUCUUGACCGUUUUGCGUGUGUGUGUCAUCAUGGCGGCUCAGGGUUCUAGACUUUUCUUGAAUCUGCAGCAUUGCGCUACGUGCGCGUGACAUCCCCCUCUGCCCCGCCCGUCUGGCCCCGCCCAGCCCGCCAUGCCUUCUUGGGAGCAAGAGAGAAGAUGGGCCUCCAUUGCCACUGCAUCAUGGCCAAACCCUCAUCCCUAGCGUACGGCUUCUCUUUCUCUCCUCUCUCUCCCUUGGCCAGUGUUUGGGGGCAGAGAAGCAAACAACUUGUCGUGGGAAAUGAGGGACAGCCUGGCCUGGAAGCUCCUGGCCUCCUUUCUCCAUGUACCAUUUUUCAGUCUCAUGCUUUCCCAUAGAUGAUGCUAGCACUGACGUUUGUCACUGAGCACCCUAUCCUCUCCCCAAGGACCUCCCGCGGUGACUCAUUUGGGAUCACUGGAAGGAUUGGCUUUGGGGUCUUGGGAGCCUAAGGGAGCAGGGAGACCUGGCCCAGGUCACAGCAGAGAGUUAGACAGGGCAAGGGAUGGAAGCCAGCUGUCCCCACCCAGAGUGCAAAGGCACCCCCAGCCCUUUGCAUCAUGUCUUUUUGAGCCUGAGUAGAGAGCAACUUGACCUAAAAAAAUUAUAUAUAUGUGGGUGUUGAAGCCUUUGCAUCUCAUAUUUCUUUGUCCAGAAGCUGUGCAUAGAGAGAGCCCAGGUUCUGUACUGCAGAGAGCUCUGUUGUCCUUCAGGUUUGUUUUCUGAAAGAGGUGAUGGACAGGCCCUCCUUGAUGAGACCCCUGUGCCCACUGGUACUGGCCUUUCUCCAGGACGAUGGGCCCAGUGUUGUCUUGCUUGUGUCAUUGGAUGGUGAGCAGCAGCUGAGGGCCAUGGUCCCAGGGCUACAUAUUAACCCCAGAUGCGACCUUGAUUGGGGCCUACACAAUUCAUUGCUUGGUUGGCCCUGUGAGCUGAGCCCACCUGUCUUCCCUUCACUUCUUCCCUACAGAGAACUCAGAGGACUUCAGCUCCAUGAGUAGGUGACAGCCUCCUGGAGACUCAGGCUCAGCUGAGGAUGGUGGUAUGCAGAAGACAGCGUCAUACUGUCGGAUAGAAGGGCCCGUUUGCAUUUAUUUGGAGCAAAAAAAAGGGGACGCCUGGCAGCCUGGUUCUCUGCACCUCCAAAAGAAUUUAAUCUGCUGGACAACAAACAAUACUGUUAUAAAACUUUGAAAACAAGAGGGCGAGGCCUCCCUGACAAGAAGAAGGGCAUGCCGGGUAACGGCCGAGAGAGCCUGCCAGGCUGAGAUGGAGCCGGGCGAGAGCCCAGUUGGCUGGGUACCUGAGUGCCUGCCCCUGCCCAGCCCGCCAUCCGCGCCAUCCCCAGUCCAGAUGGGAAGGAACCGAAAUGAAAGCGGGCAGAGAAGCGCUUGAAAAAGGGAAGUUCAUACGUGUUCCCCUCUCUCUGAUCUGAUGAGAAUGCACUAGACUGUGAAACUUCCUCCCCUCCCUCCCUCACACUCCCUCCCUCUUCUCUCCUCCUUCCUCCUCCUGCCUCCUCGCACCACUCACUGUUCCACGUCCUGAGACUGGCAGACAGAGGGCCUGAUAACAGAAUAAGACUGGAAUAGCAGUGAGCCCUGAAACCAGCAUUCCCAGUGGCAGGAAGAUGGAUGAUCUGGGCUCUGCUUCCGGCACCCCUCCCCCGCUCUGGCUGGAACUUGCGUCAGUCAUAGAGCUAAGAGUAUUUUACAACUCAGGAGCUGGGAGCCCGCAUGCUGGUUCGAGUCCCUUAGUUCUCUCAGUGACAGUUGCUCCUCUGCCCUGUGCAGCCCCUCUCAGCUCUGGGCUGAGGCUUCCUGGGUCACAGGCAAGACAUUAACUAAUCACCUGGAUGACCAAAUGGCAUAAGUGUGUUCUGAAGGAAAAGAACUUGAGGGUGUGAGAGGGCCACCAACCGGAAGCCGGGCUAGCCCGGGGCAAGCUCUCCUGAGGAAGGGGGUGCUGAGCUGAGAGCUCAGGGAGGACUUCCGACGACCUGGGUUACUUGGGGUGGGAGUGGGAGGGUCACAGUUAUGGGAGAGUGGAUGGGGGGUGUUCCAGAAAGAGGGACCAGUGUGUGCAGGAGCCUUCUGGUGGGAGGAGGGAUGCUGUCUGCGUGACUGAAGGAGACCUGCGUGACACCUUAGGAAAGGGUUUUGUGGAUACUGGCAGUUGGAAGUUGCUAAGGAAGAAGGGUUUGACUGAAAUAAGAAGCAGAAAAGCUCAGAAUUACCAAAUGUAGAUCUCCUUGAACCCCUUUGUUUUAUAGGAUUCGAACCCCACAGUAAUGACAUUUAACACUCACUCCUCACCUUAAAACCCUAGCAGUUACCUGGUUAACAGGGCCCAGCUGGUGGCUGCAGGUGUCCUCACUCACAGCCCCUGCGGGCAGAACUGACCCUCAGCUCUCCCACCUGUGGCUGAGGCCUUGCAAAGCCCCACAGGCUCCCGCGCCUGGGGCCAGUGUCAGAAUCACUGAGGAGUCCAGCACAGGCCUUGCGGGGUGGUUCAUCUCAGCGUCUUCCCCACUCCCACAGCCACGCUAUGGAGACCGCAAGCCACCAGAGGUGCAGGACAACAAAACAAGUCACCCCAAACCACCCGGCCCCUUGGAAUUGCAGUCAUGCUCUCAUCUCCGCCCCAGUUUAAUGUGUGUGCAGUGAGUAACAUCCCACGUCCAAGCAGAAAUAUUGCCUAGGAUGCCCCCGCCCCCAGCAGCCUUGCUCUUAGUGAAGUUCAAGAACAGACAGAGAUGAGAGUACAGCUGUGGAGCAGGUGGCAGUGGGCAGAGGGGCAGGAACACAGACUUUGGAGUUAGAUCUAAGAUCUUCCCCAUUCAUUAGUCCUGAGACUCUGGACAAGGUUUUGAACCAUGUUAAGGAUCAGUUUCUUCUGCAAAAAUUGGGAAUGAUACCCGCCUCACAGGACUCUUGUGAGAAUUAAAGAGCACAACUUGGUGUUCAGAGUUUAUUUCCUUCUCUUCCCUAGACAGCACAUGCUGUCACUUCCAGGAGCCAUGAAAAAUAUAAGCCUGUAUCUGGAGGCCUAAGGAAUUGGUAGGAAACGUGAGAGAUACAGACUCUACUGUGUGGCUCUUGUUUGUCUUGGUUGUGGUAUCAGAGGACAGACAGCCAUGUUUCCUUAGCUUCAAACAACCAAAAGAGAUGGGAAAUCAAACUUAAGCACAGUUUGCAAAUCCUAUUUUUAGGAAAUUUUGAAAACAAAACUCAGUUCUUGCGGUAGAGGAUGAUCUACUUAGUACAAUUUUAGGACACCGGAUUUUUGCGUCACACCAGAGGUGAAAUAAGAUUGCCAGUGUUCUGACACUCACAUGGCUGGAAGGAGGAGCCCAUGCUCUUCCUGAAAUGGGCACAUGGAAGAGUUGCUCUGGCCAGGUGAAACUCACCUUUGUGGAGUGGCUGGAGCCUCAUAGGCAGACAGGGUGCUGGUUUCUGAUGAAGUGAGUAAAAUCGGAAAACGCUUUGCAUUUGUGAACUAUUUUACAAAGUAGGCAACACUAAUGUAAAUAUUCACACAUUUUAAUUCAGCUUUGGCCAUUUUAUUUCACCAUCAUAUAUAUAAUAGUUUGUAGGGACUGGUGGUGGCAUUAAACAGAAUUAACUAGGAUUCAUGAGUUUUGUAUUGCUAUUGUCUAUGUGAAGCAUCAGCCGUGACUUCCCUUUUCCUUGAGCAUCACUGUGUAACUCUCCUCUUUGCCUUUCUAACGGAUCGUUAUGUUAUCACGUCACAAGUAGAACUGCAAGAAGACAUUUCUCCUCAGGGCAGAGGCUGGGUCUUCCGAUCGCAUCUCCUUUCUUCAGUGAGAUCCUCUUCUUCUGGAAGCUGGUUUCACAUGGUGGCUUAGAUUUUUCCAUCUUUGUAUCUAGCACCAUUUGAAAUCAGUGUUUUAGGAGUAAGAAUUGCAGCACAGCAAAGGGCCAACCGCAGAGGAGCUGCUGCUUGUGGGACUGGCUCCCCUCCUCCUGCCACCUGAGCUGGUUCAAGAAAGGAAGAACUUGAAAAGCAGAAUACACUGUUGAGUGUGGAGGGGUGACAGUGCAGGGAGGGGUUUGUAUUUGAAAGACAUCCAGUGGUUGGAGCAGGGGCAGAGGUUGCGAUACUCUUUUCUGUUGACAGAUGGCAGCAGCCACCAGUAGUAACCUGUUGGUAGGGCCUUUGAGCACAGCGAUGGGGAAAUGCUGGAUUGAGUACUUGAUUGUACUAGGGAGGGGGAGAGGGCUGUGUACCUGCAGGACUGUUUCAUCCACAUCAGAACUGUCAGCCUGCUCCUAGAUGCCCUGGAACAUUGAGCUGCCGUUGCAGCCCAGCUGAAAUCAGACUUGCCACCUGCACUGUCAAGUGCGGCCCCCCAGGAGCACCACUGGACCCAUCUCUUACACAGGCUGACCGAUUUCUCCUGGUGUUCAGAGUCUGUUUUUGUCUAGCACCAUUUGAAAUCGGUUAUGAUGUAGGGGGAAAAGCAGCAGCCUCGAAGCCUCGUGCCAAGUCUGGUCAGCAACCCCCUGUGGUUUCCUGGAAGAUGGAUGGGCAGAGAGGGGGAAGGAAGAUCACACGUUUUCCUACUAACUUCUUUAACUGCAUUUAUGAUACUUUAUUGCAGAGGUAAGACAGAAUUUAACGGAUUUUUAAAAACAAAUCACUAGAAUGUGUCUGAUGUCCUCAGUUGCAUUUUGCUGAAAUGUGGUGGUGCUGUAAAUUCUAUAAAUUCAUUGGCUGUUGAGUUAUCUUUCUGUGAAGAAGAGUCUCUUCAUGCAUCCUGACCUUAAUAAAUGUUUUGCUGUAUUCAACUUAUUGUGUCUGUUUUUCAUCUCUUAUUUUCCAUUUAUAAUUCUAUGCUGAUGAGAAAGGUCCUGAAAAGUUAAUUUGCUAUGCAGAUCUUACCUACUUCAUAACGAAUUUGAGGUAGUUUACAGCAGACAGACAUUAAAAAUGAAGCCCGUUAAGACAAGAACGAAUUUAUAGGAGCCAAGAAACAAAAGGAGAGAACAGAUUACAGGAGAGAGAAACGUGGAAGACCUGGGCCGAGGGAUGCUCCUUACUGAAUGGGAAAACUGACGUUGGUCGAGACGGGCCGCAGCCCUGGCCCCCCUGCAGUCAGGGUUCCCUCGAGAAACUUGCUUAACUGAACCUACAGUCACGGGGCCCUUGAAUGGGAGCAGCCUGAGGAUUCCAGUUGCGUUAUGAGACGCAGUUCUACUUUCGGCUGUUCGUUUCUAUCGCCCCUUGAAGACAGGGCGGACCCGUUCUGUAGGGGUGUUCAGAGAUGAGCCAGAUUUGACGUUAGAGGGGAUUGAACUUGGGGAAUCUUCAGGGAGGACGGCCGUGGCCCUUGACUGAGCUUUUGGCACAGGAGCUGCAUGGCCAGCUGUGAACUACCUGCAGUACUUUUAUUUCACUCACACGGUUCUCAACAGGUGGUGGCAACUCAACCACCGGGGAAGCUUUUCUAAGUCCACAUCCUGCCAGUCUCCCCCCAGAUGCUGCCCUGCCCUG
rnacentral:lncRNA from 1 species